rnacentral:rRNA from 1 species
GCGAAAGCGUUAAGCAUCCCACUCGGGGAGUACGCCGGCAACGGUGAAACUCAAAGGAAUUGACGGGGGGCCCGCACAAGCGGAGGAACAUGUGGUUUAAUUCGAUGAUACGCGAGGAACCUUACCCGGGCUUGAACUGCCGGCGAACGAUACAGAGAUGUUGAGGCCCUUCGGGGCGCCGGUGGAGGUGCUGCAUGGUUGUCGUCAGCUCGUGCCGUGAGGUGUCGGCUUAAGUGCCAUAACGAGCGCAACCCCUCUCUUUAGUUGCCAUCAGGUUAAGCUGGGCACUCUGAAGACACAGCCACCGUAAGGUGUGAGGAAGGUGGGGAUGACGUCAAAUCAGCACGGCCCUUACGUCCGGGGCUACACACGUGUUACAAUGGGGGGUACAGAAGGUCGGUGUGAUGUAAAUCAUAUCUAAUCCUUAAAGCCCUCCUCAGUUCGGACUGGGGUCUGCAACCCGACCCCACGAAGCUGGAUUCGCUAGUAAUCGCGCAUCAGCCAUGGCGCGGUGAAUACGUUCCCGGGCCUUGUACACACCGCCCGUCAAGCCAUGAAAGCCGGGGGUGCCUGAAGUCCGUGACCGCAAGGAUCGGCCUAGGGCAAAACUGGUGAUUGGGGCUAAGUCGUAACAAGGUA